GGGUCCAGAUUGUCUAGCCUGGCUGAUUUGUAGGGGUUCAGAUUUUGCAGCUCUUUCAGAACAUCAGCUGACUGGAUUUUGGAGAAGGAGAAAUGGGGAAGGCUUGGGCGAGUUGCUGUGGGGGGGUGCAGUGCUGUUGACCAGGGUAGGGGUAGCCAGGUGGAAAGCAUGGCCAGCCGUAGAAAAAUGCUUAUUGAAAUUCUCAAUUAUCAAGGAUUUAUCGGUGGUGACAGAGUUUUCUAUCCUCAGUGCAGUGGGCAGCUGGGAGGAGGUGCUCUUAUUCUCCAAGGACUUUACAGUGUCCCAGAACUUUUUUGAGUUUGUGUUGCAGGAAGUAAAUUUCUGCUUGAAAAAGCUAGCCUUGGCUUUUCUAACUGCCUUUGUAUAUUGGUUUCUAACUUCCCUGAAAAGUUGCAUAUCACGGGGGCUGUUCGAUGCUAAUGCAGAACGCCACAGGAUGUUUUUGUGUUGGUUAAGGUGCAGUCAGGACUGGAGAGAACCAGGUGCUAUAUCUGUUCCUGGUUCUAAAUUUCUUGAAUGGGGCAUGCUUAUUUAAGAUGGUGAGGAAGGCAUUUAAAAAAAAGAACCAGGCAUCCUCUACUCAAGGAAUGAGGUCAAUAUCCUUCCAGGAUACCCGGUCCAGGUUGAUUAGAAAGGCCUGCUUGCUGAAGUGUUUCUGGGAGUUUUUGUUUGAAGUGGUUUUAAAAUUUCCUAUGGGAAACAAUAAUGGCGAAAAAACGAUUGUAACCAUUUCCGUGUUUGACCGCUAGGUUUUAUGGAUAUUAUGACCACAGAUAAAACAACGAGACAGAUAUUUCACCGGAUGUAUAAAUGUGAAGCAUCUGGUUGGCGGUUCCACUCACGACCAAAUAUGGUCAUGAGAGGAAGCCCGGUGGCCAGCACAGGGAGAAAAUGGAGCGAGAUGGAUUUUGCCCGGCAUUCUGCACAUUUUCUCAUUGAUGAAACAUUUGAUUUCCACACAGUUUUCUGUUUUCAAAACUAUAAUUUGUAACGAACAGAGUGGACUGCGUUAGUAGACUUUACCCUUUGCCAAAGUUUCAAAAAAGUGCGUUGUUUAGGAGCGCAAGUGCAAAUUGAGUUAUUGCACACGCGCACUUCAUAAAGUAGGCGUUCCUUACGGAAAUAUCCAAAUAAAUGCUGGAAUGUUCUUGGCACUAUCGACUAUGAUUGACUUGGUUACAUUGGAAAGACAGGCUCUGGUAUAUGUUGGAAUAUCAGCCAUGUGAACCCAUUUUGCAGCUGAUAAUGGCACGCAACACCAAUGCAGCCAUAGGCUUACAGCAGUGGUUCUUAACUCCAGUCCUUCAGUACCCCCAACAGCACAUUUUUGUUGUAGCCCCGGACAAACAUGCCUGAUGAUUAGUUGACAAGUUGAAUCCGGUGUGUUUCUCUGGGGCUACAAUUAUGAUAAUGCCUAAGACAUUUUGGGUCCUGGGGUAGGCAGUCAUUGUAAAAUAAGAAUUUGUUCUUAACUGACUUGUUAAAUAAAAGACUACCACAAUUUGUCUAUGCUAAAUGUGUUUAAAGUGUAAUGCAAGACGAGGUGAAGGUG
rnacentral:lncRNA from 1 species